CACGUAGGGGCCAAGCGUUGUCCGGAUUUAUUGGGCGUAAAGAGCUCGUAGGCGGUUCGACAAGUCGGGUGUGAAAACUCCGGGCUCAACCCGGAGACGCCACCCGAUACUGUCGUGACUGGAGUCCGGUAGGGGAGUGGGGAAUUCCUGGUGUAGCGGUGAAAUGCGCAGAUAUCAGGAGGAACACCGGUGGCGAAGGCGCCACUCUGGGCCGGUACUGACGCUGAGGAGCGAAAGCGUGGGGAGCGAACAGG
rnacentral:rRNA from 1 species